rnacentral:tRNA from 1 species
UGGCGGCGGGGCUGCCGGACGGUCCGCUGCUGGUGGUGGCGGUGGUGUUGAUCCUGAUCGGGGCGCUGUCGA